UCCCAGUAAAGAAGCACUCAUGUGAGUUACCUCCUGUCCUGAGUCCAGAGCCUAUAAAGAUGAACCCACUGGGACUUGCUAGGGGAGAGGAGGAAAGUUUGUUCUGGAAGAAACUGUGUCAGAGAU